AUACGGAGGGAGCAAGCGUUAUUCGGAAUCACUGGGCGUAAAGGACGCGUAGGCGGGUUUGUAAGUCAGGUGUGAAAUCCUACAGCUCAACUGUAGAACUGCACUUGAAACUACAGACCUAGAGUAUGAAAGGGGCAGAUGGAAUUAGUGGUGUAGGGGUAAAAUCCGUAGAUAUCACUAGGAAUACCGAAAGCGAAGGCGAUCUGCUGGGACAUUACUGACGCUGAGGCGUGAAAGCGUGGGGAGCAAACAGGAUUAGAUACCCUAGUAGUCC
rnacentral:rRNA from 1 species